rnacentral:rRNA from 1 species
UCGAACGAGAAAGUGGAGCAAUCCAUGAGUACAGUGGCGUACGGGUGAGUAACACGUGGGUAAUCUACCUCUUAGUGAGGAAUAACCCUGGGAAACCGGGGCUAAUACCGCAUAAGCCUGAGAAGGGAAAGCAGCAAUGCGCUGAGAGAGGAGCCCGCGGCCGAUUAGCUAGUUGGUGAGGUAAGAGCCCACCAAGGCAGAGAUCGGUAGCCGGCCUGAGAGGGCACACGGCCACACUGGCACUGAAACACGGGCCAGACUCCUACGGGAGGCAGCAGUGGGGAAUCUUGCACAAUGGGGGAAACCCUGAUGCAGCGACGCCGCGUGAGCGAUGAAGCCCUUCGGGGUGUAAAGCUCUUUCGUCAGGGAAGAUCGUGACGGUACCUGGAGAAGCAGCUGCGGCUAACUACGUGCCAGCAGCCGCGGUAAUACGUAGGCAGCAAGCGUUGUUCGGAGUUACUGGGCGUAAAGGGUGUGUAGGCGGUUCUUUAAGUUUGGUGUGAAAUCUCCCGGCUUAACCGGGAGGGUGCGCCGAAUACUGAGGGACUAGAGUACGGGAGAGGAAAGUGGAAUUCCUGGUGUAGCGGUGAAAUGCGUAGAUAUCAGGAGGAACACCGGUGGUGUAGACGGCUUUCUGGACCGUAACUGACGCUGAGACACGAAAGCGUGGGUAGCAAACAGGAUUAGAUACCCUGGUAGUCCACGCCCUAAACGAUGCAUAUUUGGUGUGGGCAGUUCAUUCUGUCCGUGCCGGAGCUAACGCGUUAAAUAUGCCGCCUGGGGAGUACAGUCGCAAGGCUGA